UGGUAGUGAUGCUUCCUAGACCCACUUGACUUCACAUUCCAGGAUGUCUGGCUCUAGGCAAGACAAGGCUCAGCAAGUAGAAGGAAGGGAAGAAGCAAACUUUUUAGGAAGAUAUUCAACCUAUAGAGAAGAUAGAAAACAGAAGAGCAGUGGGUCUCUGGAUUUUAAUGACCUUUCUCCUUUUUAAGAAAUUUUGGCUGCGAUCCAAAAGUCUACAAGUAAUAAAUGCUGGAGAGGGUGUGGAGAAAAGGGAACCCUCUUACACUGUUGGUGGGAAUGCAAACUAGUACAGCCACU